CGCCUGGGGAGUACGGUCGCAAGAUUAAAACUCAAAUGAAUUGACGGGGGCCCGCACAAGCGGUGGAGCAUGUGGUUUAAUUCGAUGAUACGCGAGGAACCUUACCAGGGCUUAAAUGUAGUGCGACAGGGAUGGAAACAUCUUUUCCUUCGGGCGCAUUACAAGGUGCUGCAUGGUUGUCGUCAGCUCGUGCCGUGAGGUGUCAGGUUAAGUCCUAUAACGAGCGCAACCCUUGUCGUUAGUUGCCAGCAUGUAAAGAUGGGGACUCUAACGAGACUGCCGGUGCAAACCGAGAGGAAGGUGGGGAUGACGUCAAAUCAUCACGGCCCUUACGGCCUGGGCUACACACGUGCUACAAUGGCCGGUACAGAGGGCAGCCACUACGCGAGUAGGAGCGAAUCCUUAAAACCGGUCUCAGUUCGGAUCGGAGUCUGCAACUCGACUCCGUGAAGUCGGAAUCGCUAGUAAUCGCGAAUCAGCAUGUCGCGGUGAAUACGUUCCCGGGCCUUGUACACACCGCCCGUCAAGCCAUGGAAUCUGGGGGUACCUGAAGUCCGUCACCGUAAGGAGCGGCCUAGGGUAAAACUGGUAACUAGGGCUAAGUCGGAACAAGGUAGCCGUACCGGAAGGUGCGGCUGGAACACCUCCUU
rnacentral:rRNA from 1 species